rnacentral:misc_RNA from 1 species
AAGUCGUAACAAGGUCUCCGUAGGUGAACCUGCGGAGGGAUCAUUAACACGUGUAAAAACGUAUUAUAUACCCAUUUACCAACCAAUACCGUGAACUAUGUUUUUAAACAACAUUUUUAUUUUUCUUUGCUAUUACCGUCACUGGUUCUAGUGAAGAAAUGCAACCCUUUUCCAAUCUAAAUUUCUUUUUUUCUUUGUUAUUUUAACAGUAACAACAUAAAAAAUAAAAAUAAAAGCACAACUCUUAGCAACGGAUAUCUUGGUUCUC